rnacentral:lncRNA from 1 species
UGACAUCGGAUGCCAUACCACUAUACUACAACAACAAUAGAGCCAUAGCACUUGCUAAGGAGUCCGUAUCUCAUAAAAAUUUAAGUACAUCGAGCGGUAGUUCCACAUCAUAUGCGACUACUUUGAGAAGAAAUAUAUCGAGGUAUGAAGAGUAGACUCCACAGAUAAUGUGGCAGACCCACUGAUAAAGCAAUUGAGCCAGCCAAA